AUACUUACUUAUCAGGGAAGAUGCCAUGACCCUAAGAGUUUUCCCAGGGCGAGGCUCACUCAUUGCAUUCUGGGUGUGCCGACACCUGUGAUUUCCCCAAAUGUAGAAAACUCAACUGCGUAAUUUGUGGUAGUGAGGGACUGUGUUUGCACUCUCCCCUG